AGCGAACGCUGGCGGCAUGCCUAACACAUGCAAGUCGCACGGGGGGGCUUCGGCCUCCCAGUGGCGGACGGGUGAGGAACGCGUAGGGACCUGUCGAGGGGUGGGGGAUAACCGCGGGAAACUGCGGCUAAUACCGCAUGACGCCGCGGCGUGACAGCCGGGGCCAAAGGCGAAAGCCGCCCGCCGAGGGGCCUGCGUCCGAUUAGCUGGUUGGCGGUGUAGCGGCCCACCAAGGCGUCGAUCGGCAGCUGGUCUGAGAGGGUGAUCAGCCACACCGGGACUGAGACACGGCCCGGACUCCUACGGGAGGCAGCAGUGGGGAAUAUUGGACAAUGGGCGCAAGCCUGAUCCAGCAAGGCCGCGGGGGUGAAGAAGGUCUGCGGAUUGUAAAGCCCUUUCGGCGGGGACGAUGGUGACGGUACCCGAAGAAGAAGCCCCGGCUAACUUCGUG
rnacentral:rRNA from 1 species